rfam:Salmo salar isolate Sally breed double haploid chromosome ssa05, whole genome shotgun sequence.
UGCACUCACUACUGUAAGUCGCUCUGGAUAAGAGCAUCUGCUAAAUGAGUAACA